UACGCAGGGGGCUAGCGUUGCUCGGAUUGACUGGGCGUAAAGGGCGCGUAGGCGGUUCGUACAGUCAGACGUGAAAUUCCUGGGCUCAACCUGGGGGCUGCGUUUGAUACGUGCGGACUUGAGUGCGGAAGAGGGUCGUGGAAUUCCCAGUGUAGAGGUGAAAUUCGUAGAUAUUGGGAAGAACACCGGUGGCGAAGGCGGCGCUCUGGACCGAGACUGACGCUGAGGCGCGAAAGCGUGGGGAGCAAACAGG
rnacentral:rRNA from 1 species